rnacentral:snRNA from 1 species
CAUGCAAAAUUCGGAUUAACCC